CUUUUGCCUAUGAUGGUGUUAAAUAUACUCUGAGAUUAGUUUCUGUGAAAAGAAUUCACUCUGAGGCGCAUG